rnacentral:tRNA from 1 species
UUCCCUAUAGCUCAGAUGGUAAAGAAUCUGCCUGCAAUGCAGGAGACCCAGGUUCGAUCCCUGAUCAGGAAA